AACGAACGCUGGCGGCAUGCCUAACACAUGCAAGUCGAACGAUACCUUCGGGUCUAUUUGCGCACGGGCGCGUAACGCGUGGUAACCUUCCCUUAUGUUCGGAAUAACUCCCCUUAUGGGGUGCUAAUACCGGUUAAUGUCUUCGGACCAAAGAUUUAUCGCCUUUGGAUGGGCCCGCGUUGGAUUAGCUUGUUGGUAGGGUAAAAGCCUACCAAGGCGACGAUGCAUAGCUGGUAAGAGAGGAUGAUAAGCCACACUGGGACUGAGACACGGCCCAGAAUACUACGGGAGGGAGGAGAGGGGAAUAAUGGAAAAUGGGGGAAAGGAUGAAGAAGCAAUGGCGGGAGAGAGAUGAAGGGCUUAGGGUAGAAAAGCAGUAUUAAACGGGAAGAUAAUGACAGUAACGGGAGAAAAAGCACCGGCUAACUACGUG
rnacentral:rRNA from 1 species